rnacentral:rRNA from 1 species
CCUACGGGUGGCAGCAGUCGAGAAUCAUUCACAAUGGGGGAAACCCUGAUGGUGCGACGCCGCGUGGGGGAAUGAAGGUCUUCGGAUUGUAAACCCCUGUCAUGUGGGAGCAAAUUAAAAAGAUAGUACCACAAGAGGAAGAGACGGCUAACUCUGUGCCAGCAGCCGCGGUAAUACAGAGGUCUCAAGCGUUGUUCGGAAUCACUGGGCGUAAAGCGUGCGUAGGCUGUUUCGUAAGGCGUGUGUGAACGGCGCGGGCGCAACCCGCGGACGGCACAUGAUACUGCGAGACUAGAGUAAUGGAGGGGGAACCGGAAUUCUCGGUGUAGCAGUGAAAUGCGUAGAUAUCGAGAGGAACACUCGUGGCGAAGGCGGGUUCCUGGACAUUAACUGACGCUGAGGCACGAAGGCCAGGGGAGCGAAAGGGAUUAGAUACCCGGGUAGUC